GAUGAACGCUGGCGGCGUGCCUAAUACAUGCAAGUCGAGCGAACGGACGAGAAGCUUGCUUCUCUGAUGUUAGCGGCGGACGGGUGAGUAACACGUGGAUAACCUACCUAUAAGACUGGGAUAACUUCGGGAAACCGGAGCUAAUACCGGAUAAUAUUUUGAACCGCAUGGUUCAAAAGUGAAAGACGGUCUUGCUGUCACUUAUAGAUGGAUCCGCGCUGCAUUAGCUAGUUGGUAAGGUAACGGCUUACCAAGGCAACGAUGCAUAGCCGACCUGAGAGGGGGAUCGGCCACACGGGAGCUGAGACACGGUCCAGACUCCUACGGGAGGCAGCAGUAGGGAAUCUUCCGCAAGGGGCGAAAGCCUGACGGAGCAACGCCGCGUGAGUGAUGAAGGGCUUCGGAUCGUAAAACUCUGUUAUUAGGGAAGAACAUAUGUGUAAGUAACUGUGCACAUCUUGACGGUACCUAAUCAGAAAGCCACGGCUAACUACGU
rnacentral:rRNA from 1 species